GAGCCGCCAUCCACUGGGCCGCCGGACGAGACGACGGUGAGACGGCGCAGCGACUAGUCGCCGCCCUCAUGUGGUUCUUCGUCAUCGGUGGCCACCUCCGUGAGGGAAAGUCGCUGUUCGACGUCGCGCUCGACACACCCGAUGUGUCGACAGCAACACGCGCGCGGGCACUACAAGCGCGCGCCUACCUCAGAUGGCAUCGCUCCGAAAUGGAGGAAGCCGUCGCGGAGGCGACGGAAGCGGCUGCGCUCGCCCGGGAGGUAGGUGACCGUCGCACAGAGGCCCGGGCGCUCUACGUCUCGGGGCUGACGAUCGCUGGGCUGACGCCCGACUCUGACCGGGGUCAGAACGACCUGGGGGCAAGCAUCGCCAUCGCGCGCGAAGCCGCUGACCGGUGGUGCCUCGCUCACGCCCUCAGCGGAGCCGGAUCGGCCUACUUCCAACGGGGCGACAAUGGGCGGGCCCAGCCUUUCCUGCGAGAGGCAGUCGCCGUGGGCGACGCGAUGGGCGACACCUACAUCGCCAACACCUCGCGGUACUGGCUGGGCCGCAGCCUGCUGUUCGCCGGUGACUACGCCGAGGGCAUGGCGCUCCUGGAAGGGGUCGUCGACGGCGCGAGGGAGUCCGGCGACACGUUCAGCCUGCCGAUGGCACUGUCAAUACUCGGAACCGAACUCGCGCUGCACGGUGACGCGGAGCUCGGGUUCGCCUACCUCGACGAGGCCGCCACGAUCGCCCGACGCGGCGGGCUACCACGGGCGGGCCACCUGGCGCUGGCGCUCCAGAUGAAGUCACUUGUGCUCCUCGCCUGGCAGGACACCGCGGCACGCCCCAUCCUUGACGAGUACAUCGGGCUCUCGCUCGGAAACGGCGGAGUCAUCUUCGCGCUGACCGGGCUCGCGUCGGUUGACGUCCUCGAUGGCGACCUCGACACCGCUGAGAUGCGGCUCAGAGACGCGCGAGCGAUCCCUCCUCCCGACGGGUUGCGGCAGCCGUUCAUGGAUCUGGUCACCGCCGCGAUUGCCCGCGCCCAGGGUGACCUCGACGGCGCUG
rnacentral:misc_RNA from 1 species